AGACCUCGAGGGCAUGCAUUUGAGGUGUCUCUAUGCUUGGCUCCCAGUUUCCAUCCAUACUACAUAGUAUGGAUGCAAAAGUGCGUUCCGCUAGCUGGAUGGUCCCAGAAGCGACCCGUUCAAAGUGCUAACCGGUUUUUAUUAGCGGUCCCUAAAGUGACCUGCGACUAAUAUCGAGGCAAUUUCUGCCACAAAGACUGUAUCCAUGUGCAUACUUGGAAAUUGAUAUUUCGUCGACCCUGAAGUUGACGAAAAUGGAGAUUUGUUGUUUCUAUUAUUACCAUAUAUGUUUGUGUUUCCUUUAUUUUUAAUUUCUGUUUAUUUUAUUUACUUGUUAUGUAAACAAUGGAUUCCCGAAGCAAUCCAUGAGAUAUUGACGACUCCAGAAGCAGUCCAACAUGUAAUUUGUGGUUGCCUGUAGUAAUCCAUAUUAGACUGCAGAAGCGGUCUAUGGUUUCCCG